CAUGAGGGACGUUGUAGACGACGACGUUGAUAGGCUACAGAUGUAAAGGCAGAAAUGUCAAAGUCGAGUAGUACUAAUUACCCGAAAGCUUCCUGU
rnacentral:rRNA from 1 species